UAAUACGAGAGGUGCAAGCGUUGUUCGGAAUUAUUGGGCGUAAAGCGCACGUAGGCGGGUUUGUGUGUCGAUUGUGAAAGCCCAGGGCUUAACCCUGGAAUUGCAGUCGAAACUGCAGAUCUUGAAUACUUGAUAGGGUGGGAGAAUUCCUGGUGGAGCAGUGAAAUGCGUAGAGAUCAGGAGGAAUACCGGAGGCGAAGGCGCCUGCCUGGCAAGAUAUUGACGCUGAGGUGCGAAAGCAUGGGGAGCAAACAGG
rnacentral:rRNA from 1 species